rnacentral:hammerhead_ribozyme from 1 species
AUCAGCUGACAAGUCCUAAAUAGGACAAAACGCGUGUCCUCGAU